rnacentral:rRNA from 1 species
AUUGGACGCUGACGGCAUGCUUUACACAUGCAAGUCGAACGGCAGCGCGGGCUUCGGCCUGGCGGCGAGUGGCGAACGGGUGAGUAAUACAUCGGAACGUGCCCAGUAGUGGGGGAUAGCUCGGCGAAAGCCGGAUUAAUACCGCAUACGACCUGAGGGUGAAAGCGGGGGAUCUUCGGACCUCGCGCUAUUGGAGCGGCCGAUGGCAGAUUAGCUAGUUGGUGGGGUAAAGGCCUACCAAGGCGACGAUCUGUAGCUGGUCUGAGAGGACGACCAGCCACACUGGGACUGAGACACGGCCCAGACUCCUACGGGAGGCAGCAGUGGGGAAUUUUGGACAAUGGGCAAAAGCCUGAUCCAGCAAUGCCGCGUGUGUGAUGAAGGCCUUCGGGUUGUAAAGCACUUUUGGCGGGAACGAAAAGGACUGUGCCAAUACCACGGUUCGAUGACGGUACCCGCAGAAUAAGCACCGGCUAACUACGUG